CAGGGGGCGGGCGUAUAACCUGUCAUUUUAACGUUGAAAUAUUCGCAACCCUGUCUCCAAAUAGAUAGACUUUUUCUCCAUAUUUUAAUCUCUGCUGAUAAAACGACGAGAAAUGGCACAAAGGAUCGUUCAUCGUUGGAUUUCUUUACUAAGAAUGCGGCGAAUACGAGAUGAUCGGCUCUAAAUGAAUGGCGUCGCGAUUUAUUAAAUUGCUGUCACAAAGCAAACAAUGGGAAGAGAACAGAGGUGAAAAGCAGGCUUGACAAUUUUGUGAGGAGGAGGAGAAGAAGGCUCAGGAAAAGCAAUGAAGCAACUUUUACGAAAAUGUAACGUAACUGAUAACUCCACUGCUGUGCAUCAGUCGGUCUUCCCUCUUCUUUUAUUGAUAUGCGCAGUCAUCUCAGCCGCGAUCAGGCCAUUAACCGGUUAGUGAAGAUGUAUGAUGAAAAUAUAAUAGAGAACUUUCCACGGCUCUAUACUGAGAGGUCGGAGCAUCGGUCGGUGAGUGACAAAGAUUUUAUCAGGUAACGAACCUGUGAAAAAUGUACAGGUUUAUCAUUAUAUUAGAAAUGAAUAUAACGCUUUAUAGAUUCAUUACUUUAAAAUGGAUUAGCUACAAACAAUUAUGAUACAUAUUUAAUCUUGGAUUUAUCUAUUAUUUGUCAACUUGAGCGUUUUGGUGUGCUAUUGUGCUUGAGGCUAUUAUGUUUAUAC